rnacentral:rRNA from 1 species
CAGCAGCCGCGGUAAUACGAAGGGUGCAAGCGUUAAUCGGAAUUACUGGGCGUAAAGGGUGCGUAGGCGGUGAGUUAAGUCUGUUGUGAAAUCCCCGGGCUCAACCUGGGAAUGGCAAUGGAUACUGGCUCGCUAGAGUGUGAUAGAGGAUGGUGGAAUUCCCGGUGUAGCGGUGAAAUGCGUAGAGAUCGGGAGGAACAUCAGUGGCGAAGGCGGCCAUCUGGAUCAACACUGACGCUGAAGCACGAAAGCGUGGGGAGCAAACAGGAUUAGAUACCCCUGUAGUCCCUGUCUCUUAUAC